CCACACUUCCUUAGGAAUUACCAUUUGUUAAAUGUGCCCCCUCUUUUUCUUUUAUGAAAUGUGAGAAAGACAAACUCGCCAUUCAGUCUAUACAGAGGAUGCUGUGGAUGCUGUGAUACCAUCACGGGAUGCUGUGAUACCAUCGUGCGAGAAAUAAUAGGAUACUCUGUAUAAAAGCUACAAGAGGGAAACCCCAUGUUGGAUUCCUCCAAAAACAGCAAGCUCUUGGAGGAAGGCCCAGGAGGGACCUUAUUUAUUGCUGUUGACACCACAUUCCCUGGGAGCCCACCUUGCACAGGAAAGUUGGAAAUACCUCAGCUUUUUAUGCCAGUCUCACUAACAGCUGCCAAGACAGAUGUGGGCCUCUCAGCUGUAGUCCUUCCUCCUCACGUCCAUAGAGUGUCCGAGAGAGUUAACAGGCUGAAUUCAGAAGAAGCAGGAGUUAGCAUCUUUGUUUUACAGCCAGAGUUUAAUAACUUGAAUUUCCUGCUUCUUUGGAAUUCAUCACCUGCUGUUUGCGGAGCCAGGUGCACCUGCACAGUUUCCUGAGCCCACGCCUACCUGCCGGACUGCCUGCCAGGCCAUUAGCAAGGCCAGUGGACAAACCACACACUUGGGUGUUCUUAGAGUCUGUCACUUUCGUGAUAGUGAGAUGCUCUGGGCUGCCUGCAACCCCUCCCAGUGUUUGCCAGACAACUGAGCUGGAGGCAGGGGUUCAUCUGGAAAAUGCCAGCAAGCAACGGAACGUUCUCAGACACCUUUUACCUAUGAGGACAGUGAGUCAUGGCCCUGAGUUUGUUGGGGUCUUUUUAUUUGCGCCUAUAUAUAUAUAUGCAUUCUCCCAAAGGCUUUGAAUAAGGUACUCCAGCAGGAGAUGCCUGAGCCUUGCUCACACACUCAUCUUGCCCCUUCAGUGCUGACAGCCUUGAAUUCCAACUGCCGACCCCUCCUUUUGUGUCCUGAGGACCUUCCCUUGAGCUGGAGCCCCCCUUUGCCACCUGUGCCACCCGCCUAAGUGCUAGGGAACUUCAUGAAGCCCUGGGGAGCAGCCUCCCCAUAGUGGUGAGCAGGAGUUGGUGUAUAAAUACCCCAGCUCCCUUGCCCCUCAGGUGGGAUGAUCUGAGGUGUGUGUUCUUCAUUGGCUUCCAGAGCUUUCCGAGCAGACUGAAGCUUCAGUCACCCACGGUGGUGGCUGGUUUGAUACUACAUGCUUUCUUGGCUGCCUUCCUUUCCCUGUCUCACUUCACCGUGCCCCUGCCAGCACUCCUGGGAUCAUCUUCCAAAUAAACUGCUCCAUCUGGAAUCUCUGUCUUAGAGUCACAUUCAAGGAAACCCCCCCCCCCCCGGUCCCCAAAGGCCUACCUCUGUCAAUGGGAUGUUGUUGCAGGGGUGGAGGAACAGACACUGGACAUCUGGGAGUUUCCCUCACAAAAUCAGAAUGUGUGACCACUUCUCUAAGCCUGAGCUGUAGUAUACAGUUUGGGGGCCCUCUGAUACACUUUGGGGUUCCUCUGGCUGCCACCCCCAACCCAGGAGUGGUGGGCUGAUAGGAAACCCAGCCAGAGGCAUUCAGAACGCAUGCCCAGGGGGACAGAGAUUAUGCAAUGCUAGGACAGUGGUAUAAAGGAGGCCCCAUCAUGUUCUGCUGCCACCACCAUCAUGGGCAUCCUCCUGCCCCGUCUCCUAUCUGGGAGGAAGGAGGUGGAGACAUAAUAGAGGAAGUAGAUUCGGGGAGAAGAAUGGGAAGAAAAAGCAAAAGGCCUUUCUGCAUCCUUCUCAUUUAGAUUCAACUUAUUUUUUUUUUCCCUGAAGUAUAUUUUUUAGUGUUUCUUUCGAGGAGGAUCUACUAGAAGCAAACUUUGCAUUUUUAUUUGAGUAAAGAUGUCUUUAUUUUGUUCUUGCUCUUGAAUAGCAUAGCAGUUUGGCUACACUCCACAGUCGACGUUGGUCGUUGUGUGCUGUCAGCGUGUACGUUGCCUCCUGGCUUCUCUAGCUGAUACUGCGGACGCUGUUUUCAGUCGGACGGUUGUUGUUUUGCAGGUAAGCCUGUUUCUUUGUGUUUUAAUUUCCAGUGUCUCUGUCCUGAGAGAUUAAAUCCCUCAUCCCUUGCUAAUUUCUGCAGUUUCAUUUUCGUCUGUCUGGGU
rnacentral:lncRNA from 1 species